UACGGAGGAUCCAAGCGUUAUCCGGAAUCAUUGGGUUUAAAGGGUCCGUAGGCGGUCAGGUAAGUCAGUGGUGAAAGCCCAUCGCUCAACGAUGGAACGGCCAUUGAUACUGUCUGACUUGAAUUACUGGGAAGUAACUAGAAUAUGUAGUGUAGCGGUGAAAUGCUUAGAUAUUACAUGGAAUACCAAUUGCGAAGGCAGGUUACUACCAGUGGAUUGACGCUGAUGGACGAAAGCGUGGGGAGCGAACAGG
rnacentral:rRNA from 1 species